UACGAAGGGUGCAAGCGUUGUUCGGAUUUAUUGGGCGUAAAGCGCGCGUAGGCGGACCUGCAAGUCAGAUGUGAAAUCUCGGGGCUCAACCUCGAAACUGCGUCUGAAACUACAGGUCUAGAAUCUUGGAGGGGGUAGGGGAAUUUCUCAUGUAGGGGUAAAAUCCGUAGAUAUGAGAAGGAACACCAGAGGCGAAGGCGCCUACCUGGACAAGUAUUGACGCUGAGGCGCGAAAGCGUGGGGAUCAAACAGG
rnacentral:rRNA from 1 species